AAAAACCAUCUGGAGAAAAUCAAGAACUGAGCAAUAACAACUAAAUCUCUAUUCCAUACAAUAUAAUAUCUUUGGAAUAUCCAACAGCAUCAGAGGAAACCCAAUACAGAACACCGAAGGCCCAAACACUCUUAAUCAUCGGGAAAGCAGCAUUGGGACAUUUAAAUCCACAAUGGAAGCAACAACCCAAACAAAAUAGCAGGUACCCUAGCAACUAUAAACCAAAAAUGGAUAAGAAACGGAGUUAUAGAGUAGCAACAUACUUCUUUCGAUCCUCAACAAUUUGUCGUGCUAGUUGAUUCAAGAUAAUUGAUUCAUCUGCUUUGAAAGUUAGGCCAAGAUUCCUGCCUAGCUUGAGCGUUAGUGUCGGUUCUUUAUAGGGAGAAAGUGGCGAAGGAUCUGGCAAAGCUUAUCGGUGAUGAGUUCAUCCACCUAAUCUCACUGUUAGUCAUUGUAGAGGCCUUCUUGGAUCUACAUUUUGAAGUUUGUUUUUUCCCAUCCUUUGAUAACUAAGAGUAUAACCCCAAUGGGCUAGCAAUAGCUUUAGUUCUUCUCUAUCGUUU
rnacentral:misc_RNA from 1 species